GGGAAUCAUCAGUUCGCUGCUGCUCAUGCUCUUAGUACUCGAACGAACCGAACUCGCAGGCCUACUAGUAUUUACGACUUCUCUCAUCCUCUUUCAAUUAAUCAUCCUUUAAACACAGUAACAUCUCCAUGAUCACUCACGCUUCAGCUUCUCAUAUAUUGCUAUAUACUGUAUUCUUUUAUUCUUGGUUUCGCCUCUAUAUAUUCCUUGCUCACCACUUCCAUGGUGACACUAUUUACGCAUCAAAACCCACUUCCUGCUCAAAUUUGGUCGUCUCUUCAGUUCACUUUGCUUUCUCCGAACCUUCAAUUUUUGUUUUUCAAUUGCAAAUAAAAACACUAAUCCCCUUUAUGGGGUUUUGGUGUUAUUUGGUGUUUUAUCUAUCCUUUCAGGAAAGGAUUGCUAACCGUCAUAAGAUUAUGAACUGAAAUAAUUGAAGCAGAAGCAAGCUAAUCGCAUGAGAUUUAUUGGUAAGCGUCAAUGCCUAUGGAAAGAUCCAGCCAUAGAGACCUCUGAAGAUUUUGAUUUGAGCCGUUUACAUCUUAGCUCCAACAGAUACGAUGGUGAACCAUUGCUAUGAAGCCGGGAAUGGAAAAUUGAGAUCUUGAAAAGUUAUGGCGGACAACCUAAUUGGCAGAUACGUGAAAACGAAACUGGGGAUCAUAUUCCAUACGAAGUUUAAAAGCUCCCAGUUAUCAUUAUUACAUAUGGUAAAUGUUUGGAGUAUCUUGACCAUCAACAGAACAAGGCUGGGAGCUUUUACUUAUGUGGCUGCCUUGGAAUUGAAAAGUCACUUUGGAUGGAGAAAGUAAGAUUACAAGCUGAGCACUGGCCAAAACAGGAAGGCUUGCCUUGGGUAGAAACAAUGUCUGUUAAUUGCACGUCACUGACAGAAAACAUAUAUAUUCUCAAAGUCUGAUAAUUGCACAUGAGAUGGAUUACUUGAUCACAAGAGACCGAGGUGGCCUUCAUGAGCUUUUUAUGCUCACAACAUUGUCAUUCUUAAGAUGUAUCCUCCUUAUAGCUAACUUAUAGUUUAUAAAACACCAACAUUAUAAUUUCAAAUGGGUUAUAUAGCAAAUGGGUUGUUGCCACUAAAAAUGCUCUAUUGCCCUUAUAAAAUGGUAGGAAGGCAUUGCUACAGCUCAACGAGGAGAAAUCCAUUGUCCUUUAUGAGGUUACAUAGAACCAAAAUGCCUGAUUCACACCUCUAGCAAGCAAACUGUUGUUCGACCGCAUCUCAUGAAAAGGUUCAACUCAUGAUAGUUCUGUAGACAAGGACUACAGUGUUGCAGAAAGUACAAUAAUAAAGACAGACGAAUUUUGAUACCUUCAGAGGGAAACAGAGCGAGAAGAUGCUAUAAGAUGCGAGAUGUAUAUCAGAUCUGAAAUCAGGACAAGAUUUAGGGAAAGAGGAAGAAGAGGAUCAAGAGAUUGGAGCAAAUAACUUGUUCAAGAAAGUGAGAGAAAAAAACUAAGAAGAGCAGGAACAGUCUUACCAAACAUGGUCAUAGUCAUUACCAUGAUAAUGAGCAUGAAGAAUAAUAUGACGAGCAAGGACCAAAAAUGGCACAGGGAGCCAGGGAUGCCUGCUUAUGAUUCAUGGACGUGUGGAAGAAAAGCACGAAUCUGGUCAGUGCUUUGAAAUCAGAGCAAGAUAAGGGCAACACACCCAAGCAUCUCUACAAUGAACGACUCAGGGUUUAUUUUCGUAAAUGCUGUAAUCAUACGAUUGUGAUUAUAGAUUUUAACUUCUUUUUCAAUCUAGAUAAUGAAACCAAGACCUAAUGUCACACCUGAAAGUAAAAUAUUCAUUCAAGUGAA